rnacentral:rRNA from 1 species
AUUGAACGCUGGCGGCAGGCCUAACACAUGCAAGUCGAGCGAGCGGCGGACGGGUGAGUAAUGUCUGGGAAACUGCCUGAUGGAGGGGGAUAACUCCUGGAAACGGUAGCUAAUACCGCAUACCAUCAGAUGUGCCCAUAUGGGAUUGGCCAGUAGGUGGGGUAAUGGCUCACCUGGGCGACGCUCCCUAGCUGGUCUGAGAGGAUUACCAUACAAACUGGAACUGAGACACGGUCCAGACUCCGACGGGAGGCAGCAGUGGGUAAUAUUGCACAAUGGGCGCAAGCCUGAUGCAGCCAUGCCGCGUGUGUGAAGAAGGCCUUCGGGUUGUAAAGGACUUUUGUCAGGGAAGCGGUACCUGAAGAAUAAGCACCGGCUAACUACGUGCCAGCAGCCGCGGUAAUUC